GAAAUGCGAUAAGUAAUGUGAAUUGCAGAAUUCAGUGAAUCAUCGAAUCUUUGAACGCACAUUGCGCCUGCCAGUAUUCUGGCAGGCAUGCCUGUCCGAGCGUCAUUUCAACCCUCAAGCCCCCGGGCUUGGUGUUGGGGACCGGCCACCGCCGCAACUCGCGGCAGGCCGCCCCCGAAAUACAGUGGCGGUCACGCUGCGGCAUCUCCUGCGUAGUAACACACCUCGCAUCAGAUACGCUACGAGACCACGCCGUAAAACAACCCACUUCUGAAAUGUUGACCUCGGAUCAGGUAGGGAUACCCGCUGAACUUAA
rnacentral:misc_RNA from 1 species